AUUGAACGCUGGCGGAAUGCUUUACACAUGCAAGUCGAACGGCAGCACGGACUUCGGUCUGGUGGCGAGUGGCGAACGGGUGAGUAAUACAUCGGAACGUGCCCAAUCGUGGGGGAUAACGUAGCGAAAGCUACGCUAAUACCGCGUACGAUCUAAGGAUGAAAGCGGGUGAUCGCAAGACCUCGCGCGAUUGGAGCGGCCGAUGGCAGAUUAGGUAGUUGGUAGGGUAAAGGCCUACCAAGCCGACGAUCUGUAGCUGGUCUGAGAGGAUGAUCAGCCACACUGGGACUGAGACACGGCCCAGACUCCUACGGGAGGCAGCAGUGGGGAAUUUUGGACAAUGGACGCAAGUCUGAUCCAGCCAUUCCGCGUGCAGGAUGAAGGCCCUCGGGUUGUAAACUGCUUUUGUACAGAACGAAAAGGCUCUGGUUAAUACCUAGGGCUCAUGACGGUACUGUAAGAAUAAGCACCGGCUAACUACGUGCCAGCCGCCGCAGUAA
rnacentral:rRNA from 1 species